rnacentral:rRNA from 1 species
GACGUAGGGCGCGAGCGUUGUCCGGAUUUAUUGGGCGUAAAGAGCUCGUAGGCGGCUUGUCGCGUCGUCCGUGAAAACCUGCAGCUCAACUGCAGGCUUGCGGUCGAUACGGGCAGGCUAGAGUUCGGUAGGGGAGACUGGAAUUCCUGGUGUAGCGGUGAAAUGCGCAGAUAUCAGGAGGAACACCGGUGGCGAAGGCGUAUCUCUGGGCCAUUACUGACGCUGAGGAGCGAAAGCGUGGGGAGCGAACAGG